rnacentral:rRNA from 1 species
CCCUUAGAUGUUCUGGGCCGCACGCGCGCUACACUGAUGCAUUCAACGAGUCUAAAACCUGCUCUGAUAGGGGUGGGUAAUCUUUUGAAUGUGCAUCGUGAUUGGGAUAGAUGAUUGCAAUUUUUCAUCUUCAACGAGGAAUGCCUAGUAAACGCAAGUCAUCAGCUUACAUUGAUUACGUCCCUGCCCUUUGUACACACCGCCCGUCGCUCCUACCGAUUGAAUGAUCCGAUGAAUAUCAUGGAUUGAGGAUGCAAGUAGGUUCGCCUAUCUUCAUCUUCGAGAAGUGAAGUAAAUCUUAUCAUUUAGAGGAAGGAGAAGUCGUAACA